UCUUACUUUAAGCUUUCACUUUUCAUAUUUCUUGCUCCAUUUUGGCACUAGAAUACGUAAAAUUUUUUGCUUGUUCUUCUGAUAUAUGACAUUAAACGCUGUGUUGAGCCUUUAACAUGCCGUCGGCAAAAAACUCUCCUAUGGAGUUUCACCAUCUCAACAUCCAGGGGCUGCCCUAUGAUAAUUAUCAUAAGCUUGAUUUACUGUCAAAUUAUCUUUGCAUUGAUGACAAUGUUUCGAAGUUUUUCGCUGUCACUGAAACUCAUCUCCGUCCUUCGGAUUCUGAUCAGUUGUUUUCCAUUCCCGGAUACUGUUUAUUUCGUAGCGAUCGACCUGAUAUUCAUGGUAAAACACGCGGUGGUGGGAUUCUAUGCUACGUACCUCAACAUAUAACGGCUGAGCGUGUCGAGCUGAAGUUUCGUUCUAAGGGAUUUGAAUGUCUGUGGUUACGACUCACUGUUUCUCAUCGCAAAAUUAUUAUUGGGACCGUGUAUCGUCAGCCUGAUUCGAAUUCUGUCGAAACCAAAGCGUUGUUCAAUCAUUUGCGGGAAGUACUGUUAAAAUAUCCGGGCAGCGAUCAUAUAAUCAUGGGGGAUCUGAACAUCGAUUCCUCCCCUGGUUCCUCAAGCCCCUAUGUCAAAUUGUACAGCGAUUUUGUAGAUGAAUUUUCCUUCGAAGAUAAGAAAGCUUUGCUGACGACACCAUCUGCUAUGCUGUUGCUAACACGAAAGCGGACGCAGCAAAAGAUCUAACUGAAGCACUACCGGCAGUCUGUGAGUGGCUUAAUUCCAACCGGUUGUUCGUCAACGAGAAAAAAUCGAAUUUGUUACUAAUAAGUUCAGCGCAUAAUCGCGAAACCAACGUAAGCGUAAUGCUGAACGGUCAUAAAUUACUUCCAGAAAAGUCAGUGAAACAUCUUGGAGUGAUACUGGAUGAACAUCUCAGUUGGGCUGACCAUGUUAAAAAGGUCCAGAAGAAUGUUCGUCGCAUCUGGACUACUGCUCUACAGUGUGGAGCGGGGCAUCUGUGCGCUUGCGUGAUAAAUUGGCCGCGAUGCAUCGUAACGGUGUCCGAGCGGCUGCAAACUACGCAAAGAUACCCACGGAAUCGUUCAUGAACCAACAUGGGAUCUUACCGCUCUUCACGAGAUGGAAACAAAAGGAAGCGAUAUGGUUAUACAAGAUCAAACAUCCGGAAAAAUUCCAUGUGCCGCAGUACAUCUCUGAGAUGGUGGAAUUUGAUGACCGUAUAAAGCCGUACAACCUUCGGAGUAGAAACCGCAUCCUGAUCAAGGCGGUAGCGAAGAAGAAAGUUGGCGAGACGACCUUUGCUUGGAAACUUAAUAAAUUGUGGACAUUUUUUGUUGAUUCUAAUUUUUCUGAUCUGUUCCAUAUUCAUACAGUUGGUGCCUUUAAGCAAGCUUUGAACCGUGUCAAUUUUGUUUAGGACGUCUUUUCUGUCUAUCUGCACUCGUACUUUUCGAUUUUGCUAUUUGGCCAGGUUUAAAAUCCCAGCUAGAAUGUCACCCUAGCCGGAAAUGGGCUACCUGC